AACGAACGCUGGCGGCAUGCCUAACACAUGCAAGUCGAACGAUACCUUCGGGUCUAGUGUCGCAGGUGUGCGUAACGCGUGGAAACCUGCGCUUAGGGUCGGAAUAACUCCCCGAAAGGGUGGCUAAUACCGGAUAAUGUCUGCGGACCAAAGAUUUAUCGACUUUGGAUCUGGCCGCGUUGGAUUAGCUAGUUGGUAGGGUAAAAGCCUACCAAGGCGACGAUCCAUAGCUGGUCUGAGAGGAUGAUCAGCCACACUGGGACUGAGACACGGCCCAGACUCCUACGGGAGGCAGCAGUGGGGAAUGUUGGACAAUGGGCGAAAGACUGAUCCAGCAAUGCCGCGUGAGUGAUGAAGGCCUUAGGGUUGUAGAGCUCUUUUGCCCGGGAUGAGAAUGACAGUACCGGGAGAAUAAGCUCCGGCUAACUCCGUG
rnacentral:rRNA from 1 species